rnacentral:rRNA from 1 species
CGUGCAGGCGGGUUGGUAAGUCAGAUGUGAAAGCCCUGGGCUCAACCCAGGAAGUGCAUUUGAAACUGCCAUCCUUGAGUAUGGGAGAGGAGAGUGGAAUUCCCAAUGUAGAGGUGAAAUUCGUAGAUAUUGGGAGGAACACCCGUGGCGAAGGCGACUCUCUGGACCAAUACUGACGCUGAGACGCGAAAGCGUAGGGAGCAAACA